UUCAAGAAAAAAUAGCAAGUUCACUGCAAUAUGUAUUUCCAUAAUCCGAAGAAAUGCAGAGAGCCCAACGAUUAUGCUUGAGAUUAACACAAGAAAAAAAUAUUCUUAUGAUUCUAGAUGAUGUGUGGGAGAAACUUGAUUUUGCUCGCAUAGGGAUUCCCUCCUCCGAACACCACAAAGGUUGCAAGAUUCUCAUUACCGCUAGAUCGGUAGAAGUUUGUAUUUCAAUGGAUUGUCAAAGAAAGAUUUACCUGCCAAUUUUAACGGAUGAAGAAGCAUGGACUCUUUUCCAAAAUAAAGCACUUAUAUCAAAAGACACCCCUGAUACCUUGAAGCGUAUGGCAAGAUUAAUUUCUGAUGAAUGUAAACAAUUGCCUGUUCUCAUUGUAGCUGUUGCUAGUAGUUUGAAGGGAAAAGCUGAGACAAUAUGGAGUGUUGCACUGAAUAAAUUAAAACAUUCUAAGCCAAUAAAUAUUGAAAAAGGUUUGACUGAUCCCUACAAGUGCUUGCAGUUGAGCUAUGAUAAUUUGGAUGAUAAAGAAGCUAAAUCACUAUUCCUGUUGUGCUCCGUAUUUCCUGAAGAUUUUGAAAUUCAAGUUGAAGUUUUAACAAGAUGUGCAAUAGGAUUAGGUGUAGUUGGAGAAGCUCAGUCAUAUGAAGAGGCAAGGAGUGAAGUGAUUGCAGCUAAAAUUAAGCUUGUUAGUUGUUGUUUAUUGUUGGAUGCAGAUGAUGAAUGUGUCAAAAUGCAUGACAUAGUUCGUGAUGUGGCCCACAUAAUAGCAAAAGAUGAGAAUAAUAUGAUCAAGUGUGAAGAGGAAAAAGAUGUUACGGUGGAACAUAACUCAGUAAGAUAUCUAUGGUGUGUGAAAUUUCCAAAUGAUUUGGAUUGCUCCAAUCUUGAGUUUUUAUUCUUACGGACAAAGAAAGAAUUUGAUGAAAUUUUCAAAACAAUGGGAAUGCUCAAAGUUUUGAUUCUUGUCAACGAUGAGGAUGAAAACACACCGUUGCCAAAAAUAUCUUUCCAAACAUUAACAAAUCUUCGUUAUCUACACAUCUAUGGUUAUGAGUUGAGCGACUUCUCAUUUAUUAGAGAUAUGAAGAAACUUCAAAGUCUUUCACUGCAUGGUUGUUCAUUGCCUUCAUUUCCUGAAUUACAAAGCGAUGUAGCAAUUACACAACUAACAACCUUAAAAUUGUUAGAGUUACACAUAUGUGACAUUAAACUGAAGAAUUUUGAAGUGAUCAAGAGAAUCCCACUACUGGAAGAGUUGUACAUUAUUGAUAUUGCAGGAGAAUGGUAUGCUAAUAGUGAAGACAAUAUUGAAUUCUUUAAGACGUUUAGUGUUCCCGAAACACUGCAAAGGUAUGGAAUUGUGUUACGGUCCCGCGAAUUUGGCCAUUAUAAUCAUGAAGAUGUUUACCUUCAUGGAAGAACUUUAUUACUUAACCAUUUUGACAUAUCAAAUGAGGUAAUAAAGGGUUUGGCAAAAAAAGCAAAGGAUCUAUUUGUAGGAAAUAUUGAUGGAGGCGCAAAAAAUAUGAUCCCUGAUAUAUUUGAAAUUGAAGGGGGAGGUUUGAAUGAGUUGAAUAAGUUGGAGAUACUUGGUUCUGAAGAGUUAGAAUGUUUGAUUGACACUACUAAUAAUUCAAGUGAGGUGAUGAAUGUCUUCUCCCAGUUGCAUACGCUGAAAAUGGAUGACAUGGAAAAUCUAAAAGUUAUAUGGCAUUGUGUUGUACCUGCCAAUGGGCCUUUCGAGAAGUUAGAGAAGCUGUAUUUAAGUGAUUGUCCACAACUGACAUCUCUCUUCACGUAUGUCGUGGCUCAACGAUUGGUACAAUUGAAAAUAUUAAAAAUAAAAAGAUGUAAUGAAUUGAAACAUAUAUUAACAGAUGGUGAGAAAAUGGAGAAAAGUCAAGAUGAAUUCAGCACCUGGCAUCCUGUACGAAUCUUCCCGAAUUUGGAGGAAGUAAAGAUAAAGAGCUGUAAAGAAUUAAAAUAUAUAUUCUCGGGCAACAUUGUAGGAGGCUUAGGUCAAUUGAAAGUUCUCGAGAUAGAGGAAUGCGACAUGCUAGAUCAAAUAAUUGGGGAUAUAGUUCCAUUAGCAGAGCAAGAUAGAAAAGAAGAAGUUGAUGAAAUCAUUGAGGAAGGUAAGCAUCCACAUUCACAUAGCACUUCAAUUCCAACAACAACAGUUCUGAAGCAUAACCCAGGGACUUUAUCCAACCUUGCAAGGCUUAGGAUAACACAUUGUCCGAAGUUAGGCUCAAUUUUUACAGCAUCUACAACUAAGAGCUUGACUUCUUUGGAAGAAUUGUUCAUAGAAGACUGUGAUGGACUGGUGAACAUUGUAGACAGUGGUGAAGAAUAUGACACAGAGAUUCUAAAAGCUAUCUUUCCUAACUUAAGAAAGCUCUCAGUGCGUUUUUGUGGCCAAUUGAAAUAUAUGUUUGGCCAAUAUCCCUUAGAAAAUCAGGAUUAUAAAGAGAUUCAUAUUCAAUUCUCUGCAUUGGAAAUACUCUCUCUUGAUUAUCUACCAAACUUUGUUAGUAUUUGUGCUACCAACACUCUCACUGUGACGUGUCCUUCUUUGAAGGACUUUUAUUGUCACAAAUGUUCCUUUCCUUUUUAUAAUGGUGUUGGUUAUUUGACGCUUCCUACGGAUUCAAGAGAGCCGAUCAGCAUAAAUAGGAAGGAUCCAAAUUGGAUUCAUAGCCAUCUCCCCACUUUGCAAAAUCUAUCCGUAUUAUAUUCUGAAGCGGAAUGUAUUUUUUUUCUUAAUGGAUAUGGAAUGAUUGGGCAACGAGUGAGUUUAAGAUUUCAGAAACAUUGGAGUUCACAGUUGGGGUUUUUAUGACAUAGCAAGAUUUAUAUAUGAACAUUCUACUAUGAGUGGUAGGAAUGAGUUCACUUCAUCACAGGAGAUUGGGGACGUAGGAAAUGAGAGCAUUAAAUCUUCAUCAACUGGUGUUGCAACUGACAUUGAGUCUGGUGGCGAGGACAUUCUUGCACUAGAUUCCGAGGUAGUUGAACAAGAUGAUAAGAUGAAUGAAGACAAGGCAGGAAUCCAAGUAGAAGAAGGGUUGAACCUGUUGCAUAAACAAGAGGAAAUAGAUGUUGUUCCUAACAACAACAUUCACAUUUCUU